GACGAACCGUGCGAACGUUAUUCGGAAUCACUGGGCUUAAAGGGCGCGUAGGCGGCCGCCUAAGUCAGACGUGAAAUCCCUCGGCUCAACCGGGGAACUGCGUCUGAUACUGGGUGGCUUGAAUUCGGGAGAGGGAUGCGGAAUUCCAGGUGUAGCGGUGAAAUGCGUAGAUAUCUGGAGGAACACCGGUGGCGAAGGCGGCAUCCUGGACCGACAUUGACGCUGAGGCGCGAAAGCCAGGGGAGCAAACGGG
rnacentral:rRNA from 1 species